rnacentral:rRNA from 1 species
AUUGAACGCUGGCGGAAUGCUUUACACAUGCAAGUCGAACGGCAGCACGGACUUCGGUCUGGUGGCGAGUGGCGAACGGAUGAGUAAUGUAUCGGAACGUGCCCAGUCGUGGGGGAUAACGUAGUGAAAAUUACGCUAAUACCGCAUACGAUCUAUGGAUGAAAGCGGGGGAUCGCAAGACCUCGCUCGAUUGGAGCGGCCGAUAUCAGAUUAGGUAGUUGGUGGGGUAAAGGCCCACCAAGCCAACGAUCUGUAGCUGGUCUGAGAGGACGACCAGCCACACUGGAACUGAGACACGGUCCAGACUCCUACGGGAGGCAGCAGUGGGGAAUUUUGGACAAUGGGCGAAAGCCUGAUCCAGCCAUUCCGCGUGCAGGAUGAAGGCCCUCGGGUUGUAAACUGCUUUUGUACAGAACGAAAAGGUUUCUACUAAUACUAGGAGCUCAUGACGGUACUGUAAGAAUAAGCACCGGCUAACUACGUGCCAGCAGCAGCCGCAG